UACGUAGGGUGCAGGCGUUAAUCGGAAUUACUGGGCGUAAAGCGUGCGCAGGCGGUUUCUUAAGUCAGAUGUGAAAGCCCCGGGCUUAACCUGGGAACUGCGUUUGAAACUGGGAGACUUGAGUGUGGCAGAGGGGGGUGGAAUUCCACGUGUAGCGGUGAAAUGCGUAGAUAUCUGGAGGAACACCGGUGGCGAAGGCGGCAUCCUGGACCGGUAUUGACGCUGAGGCGCGAAAGCCAGGGGAGCAAACGGG
rnacentral:rRNA from 1 species